rnacentral:rRNA from 1 species
CCCUAGUAACUGCGAGUGAAGCGGGAAAAGCUCAAAUUUAAAAGCUGGUAGUCUCAGGCUGCCCGCGUUGUAAUCUAGAGAAGUGUUAUCCGCGCUGGACCGUGUACAAGUCUCCUGGAAUGGAGCGUCAUAGAGGGUGAGAAUCCCGUCUUUGACACGGACUGCCAGGGCUUUGUGAUGCGCUCUCAAAGAGUCGAGUUGUUUGGGAAUGCAGCUCAAAAUGGGUGGUAAAUUCCAUCUAAAGCUAAAUAUUGGCGAGAGACCGAUAGCGAACAAGUACCGUGAGGGAAAGAUGAAAAGAACUUUGGAAAGAGAGUUAAACAGUACGUGAAAUUGCUGAAAGGGAAACGCUUGAAGUCAGUCGCGUUGUCCGGGGAUCAACCUUGCUUUUGCUGGGCGUAUUCUCCGGUUGACGGGCCAGCAUCAAUUUUGGCCACUGGAAAAAGGCCAGGGGAAUGUGGCAUCUUCGGAUGUGUUAUAGCCCUUGGUUGCAUACAGUGGCUGGGAUUGAGGAACUCAGCACGCCGCAAGGCCGGGUUUUUAACCACGUUCGUGCUUAGGAUGCUGGCAUAAUGGCUUUAAUCGACCCGUCUUGAAACACGGACCAAGGAGUCUAACAUGCCUGCGAGUGUUUGGGUGGAAAACCCGAGCGCGUAAUGAAAGUGAAAGUUGAGAUCCCUGUCGUGGGGAGCAUCGACGCCCGGACCAGACCUUUUGUGACGGAUCUGCGGUAGAGCAUGUAUGUUGGGACCC